AUUGAACGCUAGAGGGAUGCUUUACACAUGCAAGUCGAACGAGUGGCGGACUGGUGAGUAAUAUAUCGGAACGUGCCCAGUAUCGGGGGAUAACUGCUCGAAAGAGUGGCUAAUCCCGCAUACUAUUGGAGCGGCCGAUAUCGGAUUAGCUAUUUGGUGGGGUAAAGGCUCACCAAGGCAACGAUCCGUAGCUGGUUUGAGAGGACGACCUGCCACACUGUGAUUAAGACACGGCCCAGACUCCUACGGGAGGCAGCAUUGGGAAAUUUUGGACAAUGGGUGAAACCCUGAUCCAGCAAUCCCGAGUGUAGGAGAAGGCCUUCGGGUUGUAAAGUACUUUUGGCAGAGAAGCGGUAUCUGCAGAAUAAGCACCGGCUAACUACGUGCCAGCAGCCGCGGUAAUUC
rnacentral:rRNA from 1 species